GAGCUCCAGGAUCUGAGCAGUCAGCAUAGAGCCCAACGCAGGGCUCAAACUCGCCAACGGUGAGAUCACGACCUGAUCCAGAGUCGGACGCCCCACUGACUGAGCCACCUAGGCGCCCCUUGUGGCUUAUCUUUACCCAGGUAUUGUAUAUUCGUAGUUCUUCUCGUGAAGGGAAUGCUUUCGGGGCCGACUCUUUUCCUGGGGACCCCGUAGCAGGCCGGGCCCCUCCUGCUGCCCCUGGGAUACCUGGAGGGCGUGAGCGCACCGGCGCCGCGGACAACUGGAACUCCCAGUUCCACCCGCAACCCGCCCCGCGGUCCCGAGCUGCCGCCUCCACGUGCUGCCUGCCACGGCGAUUCGGUGGCGCCCCCUGGUGGCCGUUACCAGUGUGGCGCUUCUGCUGCCUUUCAAUGCCACGCAGGCAUCACCUUCCCGGCUAGACUGUCGAGUCACCUCCCCAUGAAGGAAGGCAAACGAUUUUCAACAUUUUGGAUUCAGCAACAUACACCUCGGAAGAUGAAUAUGAAAAAGUCACCCUAAAGCCAAACCGCCACUUGAAAAUGUAGCAGCUAUUUAUGUAUUCACUCCGAAUCGGCUGAUGCAACGGAUCUUAGGGGCCAGGCCACCGCGAUACAAACGCGAACCGAGACAGACAAGGGCCCCACUGUUCCCCUGCACAGUGUAUUCUAGUGAAAGGAGACACAGAUAAUCAAAUUUGUUGAGCCUCACUUGAUGAUCCUGUAUACAGUUGAUCUUGACACACAUUCCACGUGCACUUGAAAAAACUGUGUAUUUUGUGCAGUUUGGGGUUUUAAGUUCUACAAAUGUCGAUUAUGGCAGUUUCUCCAUCCAUGGCAGGACUGCUCUUAUCCAGACCUCGCAGCACCUCCCCGUGGAAGCUCCCCUCAGCUCACCCACGAGAGCCUCAGUCCUCUUAGGAACUAGUUCAUCAAGGCUCCCCUGUGCCUGCCAGCCUGGACCCAGCAUCACCACGAGUUGGAGAGGAACACCCUGAAGCUACCGGAUGUCCCCACCCCUCCUGGGACGCCACCCUCAGCCAGCAGCUUGCUCUUCCGGAAGCACCUCGCGAGGGCCUCAAUUCUUGGCAUCCCCUCUGCACUGCCCCCAGACAGGCUGCUGUGGAAUGAGGAUGAACCAGGCCCCCAGGAUCCCCACCAAGCCUGGAGGAACACGUGCUCCUGCCUUAUGCCCCAUCUGCCUGCAUCUCGGAUGGGACACAGAGAUCACUGCCACCAUGUUAGCUGGUGAUGCUUCCCCCAGCCAGACUCAGAGCCACCACCCCAGUGACAGCUCGGGAAUGUCCUCCUCACAUGCCUCGUUCCUGAGCAGUAGCAGGCCACGGGGCAGAGGCCCUCUUGGAAGGUCCAAUGGGAGGGUGGGUGCCCGCCCCUCCUCAACAAGAACUUGGGCCAGUCUUCCAGUUGCUUCCUGGGCUUGAAGACCCAGGAACGCUCAGGUUCCCAGCCUGGGGUGGACAGUCGCCUCCCUGCCUUCAGCAAGUCUGAGCUCCUGGCCCCUAAGAGCCUAAGCCACCAGCCCAGCUUGGGUUCAUGUUAUUUUGUUCCAUCACUGAGCGGCAGCCCUGAUGGUGGUUUGUGGGCAUUUGUCCCCAAGACGCUCCCCUGCCAUCUGCUGGAAAGCUGUCAGGUUGAAUAGACAAACUUGGAUAUGAUAGGAAGGUGAUGGUGCCCCUAGAGGCGUGCAGUGUGGUCCCCUGUUGGGAUGUAGCUCUCGAGCUGAGCUUGAGUGAUGCCCGACCCCUGAUCUCCCCAAUCGGGGGAAGCUCAUGGUCUAGGGGGACAGGGACAGACCCAGAAACAGAAACAGAAGGUGUGAUAUGCAAGAGAAGGAUGGACCACCAACUGUGGGGGUCCAGCUCAGACCCACACCCUUUCUUGGGUGGCCGCACUUCCGGGUGUGGGUCCAGGCCUGGCUCAGUCCUCUGGCCCCCAGGCUGGUCCGCACCACACCCAGCCCCCCUGGUCUCUCUGGUGACCACGGCCAUCGCGGGUGGCAUCACAGCCCUGCCCUGUGCCCGGGGCCCAUCCUCAUCCUGGAGAGGCCCAUCUACCUCAACCCCCUCAACCCCCAGCCUGUGCCUGGGGGCUGCUCCUUAUUCCUUUGCAUGGAAGCCGGAUAACCAGCGGUUGAUGUCACCUGCCCUCUCUUGCUUCUCCAGGUGUGGCCCCUGGGCUGCAGCACCUGGGGGCUGGUUAGAAGAGCAGAAUCUCAGGCCCCAUCCCAGACCCUCCGGACCAGAACUAGCUUUUUAUCAAAACCCCUAGGUGACACCGUCAGGUGGGGAGAUGUCAAUCUCUCUCAAGCGUGGAACAGGGUGUGUGGGGCAGCUCACCAGGGAGGAAGGAGAGGAAACCGGCUGGGGCGCGGCCUCGUCUGGAAGCUUCCCCUGGGCUGGCCCCGAGGCUCCCCCUACAGCCUUGUCCGCUGCCCCCCGCUUCAUCUCCACCGAACCGAAGACCCAGGUGCUGAAGAACAGAACAGGACCGUGUCAUUUCCACAGAUCACCAAGUCCGUAGGUGAUAAAAAUUUGUUACCGAGCAACAGGAGUCCUGAGGAGCUAAAGUUCAUCUGGUAGAGAACGCUGAAAAGUUGAAAUCUUCCCCUAAAUCUCUAGUGGCUGUCUUCCGGAAGGGCUACCUAGAAAAAAGUACUGCACAAGUUAUAGAGGACACGACCUCCUACCUAGAAACCUGGCCGUCCCUGUACCGGGAGCCCCAGGUCCCCGGGGACAAGCCCAGCACUAGCCCUUGGGGCCUGAGGUCGUCGGCUCCCACCGGACCAUCACGCGGGCAACCAGACACCAGCGGGGCCGCGGCGGUCACUGUGAAUAAAUGCCGCGUAGAGGCGUGACGCCAGUCGUGAGGGGACACAGCUUUGUGCGAAGAUCACCACCUCUUCGGUCGGCGUGAACCGGGGCAGGGACGAGUCUCCACGACAGGCUGUGAAGGCCUUUGUCCCUACUGACCGUGUCUUGGGUUCUAGACCCCGCGGAGGAUCGCAGGCUGACCACAAGCGGUCAGGCGGGCGGGCGCUGACCGUCAGCGUGGAGAGGUGUUGAGAUGGCUCCUGAGGGAGGCUUCCCUGUGGGGUUAGUUCCUGGGAUCCAGCGCACAGGCCUUUGAGAUUGUAGUGUGUGGGGCGUCUGGCCUCGUCCCUCACACCUUCCAGAAACAAAACGGCCGGAGAGAUGGCACGAGGCUCUGAAAGUGGCGGGAAGGCCACAAAGGGCCGGGGAGGAAGAACGCUCCUUGUAAACCGAGCGGUAGCUGAAGGGCAGUGUGUCUGGGGGCAUUUCUGGCAAAUUCUCAGGGGACCACUCAUUCAUGACCUCGGAAUGGCAGAAAAAGCCAUCGGGCACUGAGCCCUCACAGAGCUUGGAGAGUCAUGAUCUUCUUUGGCCCUUACAAAUAAUAUAUAUAAAUAAGGAGGGCAGGGUAAGGGCUACACGUUGACCCCCGAGCAGCCCGAGACUCGCUUCUUCUUGGUGCGGGGAAGUGACACCGACAGGUGACCGGUGGGAAGUAGAAUGUGAGCUAACGCACAAGUCCAGCCCUCAGCGUGGCCACUUCCUGUCUGAUCAGAGAAAGGGCCAAGUCACAAGGUGUGACCUCACGGGCCCGUGUCAUCUCUGGAGACGAGGGACCGAACUACCUGGAAGAAACAGGCAACGAAUAAGAUGUGUUCGGAUGCGGGGCUGUGGCAAGGACACGUCCCAGGCCACGGCCCCAGAGAGUGGCGAUCCCAUUUACAGACAAGGGUUAAAUUAAAAAGCGAGGACAGGGCUGUGCACCCCACAGCACAGGCGGCCCGGGGACAGAGGGCUCUCUCGCCCUCACUGUGAUCUCACCCUUGUAACUUCUAAUCCUCCUGCCAAAUGUAGUUUUACCCUCGAACGUUAAUAAUAAAGGGUCACAGAGCCAUGGGCGAAGGGUCCGCUCCCCAAACGCUAGGGUCUAAAAAAGCGAUCAAACAAGGAGUAAUAUACUGCACGUAAAAGGCAGGGUGAGGGAGCUGGGAGCCCGGUCGCAUAACACUCCAAAAGUCGCGUAACUUUUAAGGGAAAGUCGCACCAGACACCAAAAAUCAAACCCUGAAUAGGAAAAAAGACUUAGAAAGGCAUGUGUGUUAGCUGUUUCCCGUUAGUUUGUGACAAAAUGUGGGCCGGGGUGUCUCCUGACGGGGCUGUUCACGGAGACACAAAUGCAACUCUCUGGAAGACACCAUAAAAACGGACAGCGCUGUUUCUCCAAAAUUUUAUUUUUAAUUUAAAUUACAGGGCCAGCCAGAUAUUCUGAUAAGAAAUUUACGUUUCCUCAGGAGAAAGGAAAUGCUUUCAGGGCACUGUUAACAACUGUAUACAUCUCCACCUUUUUUUUUUUUUUUUUUUUAAGGGUUAAAAA